rnacentral:rRNA from 1 species
AAUACGUCCCGGGUCCUUGUACACACCGCCCGUCAAGUCACGAAAGUCGGUAACACCCGAAGCCGGUGGCCUAACCCUUUUGGGAAGGAGCCGUCUAAGGUGGGAUUGGCGAUUGGGACU